rnacentral:rRNA from 1 species
CGUACCAUGCUGAAUAUACCGGUUCUCGUUAGAUCACCGAAGUUAAGCAUCAUUGGGCGCGGUCAGUACUUGGGUGGGUGACCACCUGGGAACACUGCGUGCCGUU